rnacentral:rRNA from 1 species
UCGUCAGCUCGUGUCGUGAGAUGUUGGGUUAAGUCCCGCAACGAGCGCAACCCCUGCCGCCAGUUGCCAGCAUUGAGUUGGGGACUCUGGCGGGACUGCCUCUGCAAGGAGGAGGAAGGCGGGGAUGACGUCAAAUCAUCAUACCCCUUAUGUGUAGGGCUACACACGUGCUACAAUGGCAAGUACAGAGAGACGCAAAACCGUGAGGUCGAGCAAAUCCCUUAAAACUCGUCCCAGUUCGGAUUGUAGGCUGAAACUCGCCUACAUGAAGCCGGAGUUGCUAGUAAUCGCGAAUCAGAAUGUCGCGGUGAAUACGUUCCCGGGUCUUGUACACACCGCCCGUCACACCAUGAGAGUUGGCAAUACCCAACGUCCGUGAGCUAACCGCAAGGAGGCAGCGGCCUAAGGUAGGGUCAGCGAUUGGGGUGAAGUCGUAACAAGGUAGCCGUA